CUACUGAGUGUCAGCUGUUGGACCAGAAUAAAUUCUCUCCCUCUACACUUUGAGAAUGUGUGGCUUGUAUGCAUGAUCUCAGGAAAUACUUACAAAUGAUGAUCAGAUCAGACCAGCACACUACUCUGCAGUGGGAACAAUCAUGGGAAGAGCAAUAAUAGCUCCCUCAUCUUUGAUACUCUAGAUCUGUGUUAUACAGUGUGAUAGCCAUUCACCAGAAGUAACUGUUCACAGUUGUCUAAUUCAAUCAGUAAUUAACUCACUCUAUUCAUAUAAAACACGAAACUCAUCCAAUUGCUCAGUCCCACUAGGCACAUUUCAAGUUUGUUCAUACAGUUGGAAUUCCAGGUUUGUAAAUUUAGAGGGAAGAGCUCUCAUGGGUCUGCAGAAGUGAGAAGUUUCGAGGUGCAUCUUCAGAAUCUUUCUCUCAUGUGGACUUUUCAACUGUGAGCAAUGUCUUGUCGAGUGGUCUGACUCCAUGAAACAUAAGGAGGACCUGAGAACCUGGAGGGAAAAAUCAGAGCGAUGCUCUGAGACCCACAAUAACUUCAAGUAAAGUAGGAGAAACGGGUUGGUCACAGUUUCUAACAACUUUGUCACUCAUGUUUGUGUUUCUACAGACCAGAUGCUGGAGAGCACAUGGAGCAGCCAGGAUGAAGAUGCUACAGAUGUCAAGAUAUUCUCUCCUUCUCCUCUUAAGAGAAGCUCUUGGGUCUGCAGUCAGCGAAGAAGAGGACAGGGAGGAGGAGACAUAAAUAUGGAGGGUGGGGAUGAAAGGUCCUGCCCUUACACCUGUGAAGGCCUUGACCUGGGGGCCUCAGCCUGGGCCUCAGAGGGGAAGGAAGCAGAACAGAGUCAGGAGGUUUCCAACUGGACAAGGAACAGGGUCGGCCUCACU